rnacentral:snRNA from 1 species
CUUAUCUAGUACAAAAUAAAGCU